UCGAUAAGGUUACCAGUUCGGUCACCCAUAUAUCGAGACAACGGCAACGAUCGAGCUCAGUUUGGCAAGCAGCAACGUGAGUUGAGCGGUUCCCAGGCACUUGGAGCGUACGCUAAACCUUUUUCCUAGCACUACCGUUUCUCAGCCCCAGCGGUGGACACAACCAUGUCGCACAUUCUCGGAUUGUGCUGCUGCAAGUCGUGCGAAGGCCGAAAGGGGCGACGCGUCCGGCUGCCAUCGUGCCUGGCGCCUCCUUUGCUUCCACUGCGCCCAGGUGCAGUCACGCAAGAGCCUUCGUCCUCGUCUUCCGGAGAUACCUUCCCUUCGGAUUCUGCUGCUGCAUCAGCGGCGGGUCACAAGCCCAAAGACAGCUCGAACGAUGCGGACGCAUCGUCCACGUUCAGCAACACAUCGUGCACGAGCAAGGACACCUUCUUCGCGGCCGUGGGGUCCAGGCGGCCCCCGACUGACUCCCCCCAACCCGGCCCCAGUGGUACGGCUACGGUCAGCGUCGAGAUGGUUAAGAACCCGUCCUGCACUACAAGCGAGGACUCGUAGUCGCCUCCGUAGGCACUGCUGCUCGACCUAUCGGUGCACCCCUCCUACUGAGGGCAAUGAACCGCAAGCGCAUUGGCCCUACUUUUAUGCCACAGCUCUGUUGCACCUGUAUACCAUUUGCAGACAUUUUCUGACUGUUUUAC